AGCCUGUUAUGGGAUGGGCAUCCUACCAGGAACCAAGGAUGCUAAGAUGUCCUCCAAAAUGGAUUGCCUCAUAUCUAGUACCCGCCUGCUGCAGGCUUCUUCAUCUAGUUCCUCUGGGGACACACUGUGCAGCUAAUUCAUCCAGGCAGAUUCACUGGGAAGCUGUUGCUCAUGAGGGUAUUUCUGAGACUUUUUUUUGUGACCUUGCUGUAUGACUGGUAAGACGCGACUUAGUAUUUUCCAUGCCAAGAAUAUCAGAGCCAUGACCCAUGGUAUAGAAUGCUGCAAGCUUAGCCUUCAUUUGUUGCCAUGCUAGAGCAGACUCUGUUUCUCCAGGAAAUUCCUGGUUUUGCUCAUGGGAGACCCUGCAGAUGCUCACUUUGCCACUCGCUGAUCUGAUCUCAAGAGCAUCUGGAUCUGCCUUAACCAGCAUCUCAGGCUCCCUACGCACUGAGUUCUUGACUGGAAACUAGUAAUCUGUAUUUCCCUGGGGCCACACUAAAGGGGGAUGAGGGGCGGAGUUAAGUUGCAAUAACAAGACCAAAGUUGGGUAUCUCUGGCUCACUGGCUGUCUCUGUCUAGACUCUCAGGCUUUUCGACCUCCCCUCUGUGUGCUCCACCCUGCAGUCUUCCUGAUGAUUCCAGAGGCUCCUGCUGUUUCCUUCUCUCCAAUCCCCAGGUUGGCCUCCUGGGCCCUGGCUCCCAGGUUGCUGCUCAGGCUGCCUGGAUACUUCUCUCUCCUGCUAAAUUUCAGUCACAGUGGGCUUUUCUCAGUCUCAACUUUCUAUUUUUAUUUAUUUUGCCCCUGUUGCUGCUGAUUCUUUAUUCUAACUUACAAUAGUAUUGCAUGUGUUCUUGUUGAAAAGCUCUUCAAAUUCUCCAUGGACCAAUACAGGACACAAAUAAGCAAACAAGAAUAUUAAUGUUGAUGUCCCUCUCUCCAGCAAAAGAUUGGUGAUGAGCGUCAUCAAUUUAUUUUAAUACAGCACAUUGAAAGGGCAGGCGUGGUGGUGCAGAUUUCACUCAUUUCACUAUGGCAAUCGAGGGAGGUCUUGGUUGCUGACCAGGAAAGGAAAGCUAUACCCAAUCAGGCACACUUUCCAGAUAUUCCAGAUAGGUAAAUGGUCCAUGAAACCAUAAAACCAGAAAUGAAUCUCAGGGAUGAAGAGUGGAAAAAAAUCAUCACCUGGGUCUUUCCUUUUUGUAAAGAAAAGAAAAUCAAUAGAGCUAACUGCAUUUCCGCAGUUGGAAAAUGUUUUCUGACAUAAAUAAAAAGUAUAACAAUUUUAGGUCAAUUGGAGGCAUUAACAAUCAGAUAAAAUGGUCAUUUUGGAUUAUGCAUCCAGGGUAGAAGUGAUCCUGCUGGAAACUUGUGACACUUGUCUGUCUGAUUGUUGGUCUCUCUUUUUCUUCUUCUCUUUCUCUCCCUCCUCACCUCUUACUGUGCAUUCUUUCCCAUAUCUUUUCCUCCCUUUGCCUACUACUGGGUGGAGUUUCCAUGUGGGCCCCACUGUUGUGCUAAGAAUAGCACUAGCUGCUAUUUAUCAAGGCUUUACCACUUGCCAGGCACUGUGCAGAGCACCCUAGAUACAUUACCUCACUUAUUCUGCCCAACAGCCCUCCAGGAGGAUGGGCAUAUUUGUGUAAUGAACCCGGUCUGACAUGGUGUUUAAUUGCUUUAUUAUGUUCUUUGUCAGCACUCCAAAUAAUAAAG
ensembl:lncRNA SLC1A3-AS1 SLC1A3 antisense RNA 1